rnacentral:rRNA from 1 species
AUUGAACGCCGGCGGCAGGCUUAACACAUGCAAGUCGAGCGGAGAUGAGGUGCUUGCACCUUAUCUUAGCGGCGGACGGGUGAGUAAUGCUUAGGAAUCUGCCUAUUAGUGGGGGACAACAUUCCGAAAGGAAUGCUAAUACCGCAUACGUCCUACGGGAGAAAGCAGGGGAUCUUCGGACCUUGCGCUAAUAGAUGAGCCUAAGUCGGAUUAGCUAGUUGGUGGGGUAAAGGCCUACCAAGGCGACGAUCUGUAGCGGGUCUGAGAGGAUGAUCCGCCACACUGGGACUGAGACACGGCCCAGACUCCUACGGGAGGCAGCAGUGGGGAAUAUUGGACAAUGGGGGGAACCCUGAUCCAGCCAUGCCGCGUGUGUGAAGAAGGCCUUAUGGUUGUAAAGCACUUUAAGCGAGGAGGAGGCUACUGAGACUAAUACCCUUAGAUAGUGGACGUUACUCGCAGAAUAAGCACCGGCUAACUCUGUGCCAGCAGCCGCCGUAACAC